GACGAACGCUGGCGGCGUGCUUAACACAUGCAAGUCGAGCGGUAAGGCCCUUUCGGGGGUACGACGAGCGGCGAACGGGUGAGUAACACGUGGGUGACCUGCCCUCAGCUCUGGGAUAAGCCUGGGAAACCGGGGUCUAAUACUGGAUAUGACUCCAUGACGCAUGUUGGUGGGGUAGGAAAGCCUUGUGCGGCUGGAGGAGUCGGGCCCGCGGCCUAUCAGCUUGUUGGGUGGGGNGAUGGCCUACCAAGGCGACGACGGGUAGGCCGGCCUGAG
rnacentral:rRNA from 1 species